rnacentral:rRNA from 1 species
AACGAACGCUGGCGGCAUGCCUAACACAUGCAAGUCGAACGAGACCUUCGGGUCUAGUGGCGCACGUGUGCGUAACGCGUGGGAACCUGCCCUUAGGUUCGGAAUAACUCCCCGAAAGGUGUGCUAAUACCGGAUAAUGUCUUCGGACCAAAGAUUUAUCGCCUUUGGAUGGGCCCGCGUUGGAUUAGCUAGUUGGUAGUGUAAAAGCCUACCAAGGAGACGAUCCAGAGCUGGUCUGAGACGAUGAUCAGCCACACUGGAACUGAGACACGGCCCAGUCUCCUACGGGAGGCAGCAGUGGGGAACACUGGACAAUGGGCGAAAGCGUGGUCAAGCAAUGCCGGGGGAGUGAUGAAGGCGUUAGGGUUGUAAAGCUCUUUUACACGGGAUGAUAAUGACAGUACCGGGAGAAUAAGCUCCGGCUAACUACGUG